CCUACGGGUGGCUGCAGUGAGGAAUAUUGGUCAAUGGACGAGAGUCUGAACCAGCCAAGUAGCGUGAAGGAUGACUGCCCUAUGGGUUGUAAACUUCUUUUAUAUGGGAAUAAAAUGUUCCACGGGGGGGAUUUUGUAUGUACCAUAUGAAUAAGGAUCGGCUAACUCCGUGCCAGCAGCCGCGGUAAUAAGGAGGAUCCGAGCGUUAUCCGGAUUUAUUGGGUGUAAAGGGAGCGUAGGUGGAUUGUUCAGUCAGUUGUGAAAGUUUGCGGCUCAACCGUAAAAUUGCAGUUGAAACUGGCAGUCUUGAGUACAGUAGAGGUGGGCGGAAUUCGUGGUGUAGCGGUGAAAUGCUUAGAUAUCACGAAGAACUCCGAUUGCGAAGGCAGUUCACUGGACUGCAACUGACACUGAGGCUCGAAAGUGUGGGUAUCAAACAGGAUUAGUACCCGAGUAGUC
rnacentral:rRNA from 1 species